rnacentral:rRNA from 1 species
AUGAACGUUGGCGGCGUGCCUAACCAUGCAAGUCGAACGCUAAUAGCAAUAUUGGAGUGGCGCUACGGGUGAGUAACACGUAGCUUAUCUACCUCAAAGCGCGGGGAUAACGUGUCGAAAGACAGGCUAAUACCGCAUAAGCUCCCGGUCUGUAGAGGACUGAGAGAAAAGGCGCAAGUCACUUUGAGAUGAGGCUGCGGCCCAUCAGCUGGUUGGUGAGGUAAAGCUUACCAAGGCGACGACGGGUAGGGGACCUGAGAGGGUGACCCCCCACACUGGGACUGAGACACGGCCCAGACUCCUACGGGAGGCAGCAGUGAGGAAUAUUGCACAAUGGGCGCAAGCCUGAUGCAGCGACGCCGCGUGGGUGAAGAAGGUUUUCGGAUCGUAAAAACCCUUUUCUGUGUGACGAGCAAGGACGGUAGCACAGGAAUAAGUCUCGGCUAACUACGUGCCAGCAGCCGCGGUAAAACGUAGGAGACAAACGUUAUCCGGAGUUACUGGGCGUAAAGGGCGUGUAGGUGGUUGCGUAAGUCUGGCGUGAAAUAUCUCGGCUUAACCGAGGCAGGUCGUCGGAUACUGCGUAACUAGAGGACGGUAGAGGCGUGCGGAAUUCCGGGUGUAGUGGUGAAAUGCGUAGAGAUCCGGAGGAACACCAGUGGCGAAGGCGACACGCUGGGCCGUACCUGACAUGAUGCGCGACAGCAUGGGGAGCAAACAGGAUUAGAAACCCUGGUAGUCCAUGCCGUAAACGAUGCUAGCUGGGUGUUCAGGGGGGGAAACCCCUCGGGGUGCCGAAGUCAACACGGUAAGCUAGCCGCCUGGGGAGUACGGUCCGCAAGAUUAAAACUCAAAGGAAUUGACGGGGGCCCGCACAAGCAGCGGAGCGUGUGGUUUAAUUCGAGGCUACACGAAGAACCUUACCUGGGUUUGACAUAUAAGUAAGUAGUGAAGCGAAAGCGGAACGACCUUCGGGAGCUUAUACAGGUGCUGCAUGGCUGUCGUCAGCUCGGUGCCGUGAGGUGUUCGGUUAAGUCCGCAAACGAGCGCAACCCUCGGCGUUAGUUACAAGUGUCUAACGCAACUGCCCGUGAGAAAACGGGAGGAAGGUGGGGGAUGACGUCAAGUCAGCAUGGCCUUUAUAUCCAGGGCUACACACACGCUACAAUGGGCGGUACAACGGGUCGCGAAGCCGCGAGGCGGAGCCAAUCCAGAAAGCCGUUCGUAGUUCGGAUUGCCAGGCUGCAACUCGCCUGCAUGAAGUCGGAGUUGCUAGUAACCGCAGGUCAGCUAUACUGCGGUGAAUACGUUCCCGGGCCUUGUACACACCGCCCGUCACGUCAUGGGAGCUGGUCACGCCUGAAGUCGGGGAGCUAACCGCAAGGAGGCAACCGCCGAGGGCAGGGCUGGUGACUGGGACG